rnacentral:lncRNA from 1 species
GUGGAUUCUGAUGGAGGAAGUGGUGAGGAACAGGAUGGCAAGGGAAGCCCGAUCAAGGUAUCAUUGACUUGGAUCAUUGAUAAAUUGUUGUGCAUGUUGCUUCACCAAUGGUUUAAACGUGUGUUUACAGAAAAAGGAGAAGAAAUUCAGAAUGCCCCAGUUCUCCAGAAGAGGGUCAAAGGAAAAGCUUCCUGAUGACACUAAGGAGGCCAAGAGCAGGACUCUGCCAGUUAGACGCAAAUCGUCAAAGGAUUAUUUUUCAGAUGUGCACAUGUCUGCAGGAGAGAAUGAGGACGAAGAGCAGGACUACAAAAAGACACCUCUAAAGACCAAAGUCAACAAGCUGCUUCGGCGAGCUUCCACUUCGUCCUCUGUGCCCGAGGGGAAGCACGUGAACGGACACCAAGACUCAAAGGAUGAUGACCUCGGUAAGAAAAGCAACGGCAAGAAAAACUCCAUCAUACGCAGAUGGUCGGAGGGGACAGUGUUGGAUGACAGCACUGGUGAAGAAGAGCAAGCAGGGGACGGUCCACAUGACGAGGUUUGUUUACAUUAUGUUCAGUCAUUAGUGGUUGGCACCACUUAGCAUGGACGCUAUGGACUUAAGUCUGUAGAGUCCAACAAUUAUGCCACACGAGUGGUUCAGGCACUGGGUUAGGAGGGUGUCCCAGGCACUUCCAUCUAGACUGAGACCACAAGGAUGACCCACGAUCCACUGCAAGGACUUACAUCCUUCAGCUGGAAUCCACUAGCACAAGAUGGGCGAAGUUGCCAGAGACACAUGGGGGUCUGAGUGUCUCUGCGCCCCUGUUGCUGUUGUGAUCCUGGUUGAUUAAGUGAUCGGACACAGAGCUCCAGCCUGUUAAAUGUCUGGAAAUAAAUCAGGGCUGCUGUGCA